rnacentral:lncRNA from 1 species
UUGGAUCUUUUGUUGAAUGUUGGAGGGGAAAUGAAGGGUGGGAAUUGUGUGGAAGCUAACAGAACGGAGUUUUGUGUGGGCAGUAAAUGCCGUUCUGUUAGGGGUUAGACCCAGUCUGGUCCAUGCUGGAUAUAAUGGUCAUUUUCAACCAUUGUUACACGUUUUUUAUUGGCAAGUUUAUGGCAAUGCUUUAAUUUUUAUUGACCCCUCCAUUUAUGUACGAUGCUUUCCCCAGCAGCCUUUGUAGUGCAACGGAAGAAUCUGCAGAAAGUUGAGCGGCACGACUCGCAAGUCUUACCUUAUUACUAAUAAAAAAAAUAAGAGUUAUGACUUUAAAC